rnacentral:misc_RNA from 1 species
GAUGAAGAACGUAGCGAAAUGCGAUAAGUAAUGUGUAUUGCAGAAUUCAGUGAAUCAUCGAAUCUUUGAACGCACAUUGCGCCCGCCAGUAUUCUGGCGGGCAUGCCUGUCUGAGCGUCAUUUCAACCCUCAUGCCCCUAGGGCGUGGUGUUGGGGAUCGGCCAAAGCCCGCGAGGGACGGCCGGCCCCUAAAUCUAGUGGCGGACCCGUCGUGGCCUCCUCUGCGAAGUAGUGAUAUUCCGCAUCGGAGAGCGAUGAGCCCCUGCCGUUAAACCCCCAACUUUCCAAGGUUGACCUCAGAUCAGGUAGGAAUACCCGCUGAACUUAAGCAUAUCAAUAAGCGGAGGA